rnacentral:misc_RNA from 1 species
UCCGGCUUAACGCCGGCGGUUUCCUUACAGUUCCCAACUAAAUGAUGGCAAGUAAGGACGAGGGUUGCGCUCGUUGCGGGACUUAACCCAACAUCUCACGACACGAGCUGACGACAGCCAUGCAGCACCUGUCACCGGUCCAGCCGAACUGAAGGGGAAUGUUUCCACUCCCCGCGACCGGGAUGUCAAGGCCUGGUAAGGUUCUUCGCGUUGCCUCGAAUUAAACCACAUGCUCCACCGCUUGUGCGGGUCCCCGUCAAUUCCUUUGAGUUUUAAUCUUGCGACCGUACUCCCCAGGCGGGGUGCUUAACGCGUUAGCUACGCCACUGAAACCUAUGGUCCCAACGGCUAGCACCCAUCGUUUACGGCGUGGACUAC